CCCCAUUAUUACCUUCCGAGGCUGGUUGUCCGGGCCGCCCGGGCCAGGAGCGCCCUCUAUCGGCAGACGAGAGCGUCGGCGCGCGGGCGCCCACAGCUCGGGAGCGAGGGAAACUGCGGCUGCGCGGGCUGAGUGCGCGCGGAGAGGACAGCCCUGGCGGUAGCACGAGGUCCAUCCGGUCAGCAGGUCUUGGAGUUAAGUCAACAGGAGAAGAGUCAAGUGAGGUUACAGAUGAGAUAUACAUCUGACUUCUUUCUUCCUUCUCCCUCCAUCUCAGAGAAGUGUGCUGUCUAGCCAUUGGAAGACCAAAAGAGAAAUUUCCAUAAGGGAAAAAAAGGAAAGAAAAAUG